GAAAUAUUCGAUUAUGGAUUAUCGACGAGUCUCUUCUCGCGUUAAGCUUCGAUGAUCGAGGAAAUUGUGCGUCGUCAAAAAAUAUAUUCUUGUUACUUAUUUAUAUAAAAAAAAGUUGAACGCAGCAUUCGAAUUGAUUGGCCCAAUUGUUUUUCCAAGUUGUUUCGAACUGCGCAUCUGGAUCUUUAGAUCAUGCAACAUCGACGAUGACGCCGCGUGGUCAAAGUUCGAGGACCAAUAAUUUCGGCUGUAACACUUAAAGCCGUUACCAUGGUUAUCGAACUGCCUGCACCAAUAAGAAUGGCUAUUGUAUACGUAACGACUCCGUGGCUCCCGCCAAAUUCUGUGAUGGCUGCCGAAAGAAUACCUAUGAGAGCUCCGCAAAGAUCUGUUCAUGUAUUUCAACAACAACGCGGCUAUGAAGGAAGAUAAGUAAGAUACCAAUGGUACCGUAGCCAACGCUUGUUUACCACCAACUGCCGUUUCCUCGAUAUAAAGUGUCGUCGUGUUGAUCGAGUAGCACCAUCGAUUCGCCAUUCGUCGGAAGGACGAUCCAUGUGACAACGAAAACUACUACCGCCGAGCUCACCUGUGCUGAAUACCUACGAUAAAAACAACUUACGAGUGAGUGAAUAUAAAUAUAAUUUAUUUGAUUUGGUCUAUCUUCCUUACCUUAUAGCUGUUAAUUCGGUUCGACCGAGUAACGAGCUUGUUAACGACGGGAUCAUAGACAAAUGCGAGAUCUGUACGGCUGCCCAGCCAAUCUGGAAGAUUACGAUGCUCAGUAUAUAAAAGAACAUGACGAUAGAGUUGGAGGUAUUAGCGAAACCUCCAAAAAUAAUUGGGAAACUUAGGGUGACCAAAACGGAGCCAAUCACGUGCCAUAUUUUUUUCUUGCAGUAACGAUCGACGAGAAAGCCAAAGAUUGGCGUUGUGAAAGCAUCCACGAUUUGACCUUCGAAUAACGUUCUAUGUUAUUAUAAGCUAUUUUAAGAUUUAGGUUUUAUUCAUAAUAUCUUAUUUACCUAACAACAACAAUGUGCCAGCCAUUAUUGGUUCCAAGAGAGAAACCUUUUGUAGGUAUAUUAAAGUAUAAGAGAACCACAUGGCUGCCGUCAGAUCGUUGAAAAUAUGUCCCAAGGCAUAAGCCAAUUUUGUCGACAUGGAUACUUUAUUAUUAUCCAUGCCGAGUAGUCCAGUCUCCAUUUUAGAAUUUUUCUCCAUUUUUCUUCUUUCCGUUUUUCCUUUUCUUUCUUGUUUUCUUUCUUCCUUCCUUCCUUCCUUUCUUUCUUUCUUUCUUUCUUUCUUUCUUUCUUUCUUAUUAAUGCUUUAUCGAUAUAUCAGUUUCGAUCCAAAGAAACGUAGAAAGAACAAUUCGUUUUACUCAUCAUCUUGUCUCUUAUUCGUACUAGAACGAAAGCUAACUAAUUAUAAACGAAAGAAAAUCUGCAUUAAAAGAGAGUAAAUACUCUAAGAAAUACGUCAUGAGAUAACAAAGGAGAUUAACAUAAAUUAUGAUAAAAUUAUUAUUCUUAAUAACGCAAGGCAGCUGUUAGAAGUAUGUUUAAUCUUUUAAAACUGAUUAUUAACGGUAUUAAUACGAUCGAAAGAUUAUUUCUCGAGUAUAAAUCUUCUGAAUAAUUAAAUCGUUUGGGUCCUUAACAUUUGAAGAAAAUUCAAAGAAAAACUACAUCUUGUUAACUACAAUUUUUUCUUAAAAUUAUAUUCUUAAAAGUAAAAUGAAUCUCUUGGAAUUGCUUUUCCUUUCACUGGAAAGACCAGCCCGAAGCUAUUUUCCGUUUAUGGAAGUUCGCGUUUGAAACGAUUUCUUUCUCGAGAUAAGAAAGUUACGGUGUAACUUGGAACGUUGCUUGAUAUAUUUAUGAAACACGGUGACACAACGACCGGAAACGUAAUAUUAAAUUUCAUUUACAAGUGUCCGGUAUAUACGUACUUACAUCUUAAAGAUCGAUAUAUUCUUUGUUUCUCAAUCUCUUAUCUGAAUCGGUAAUUUAAAACGCAAACAACGAAAUAAAUAACAAACUCGUCAUUUCGUGUUCUUCUAUGUUAUUAUAAACAGAACGUUGAAAUCCAUUUUAUAAAUUAUAUUUUGAUUUAAUAUUCGAAAUAAUUUUGUUCGACCGAUUACGGUCGUCCUCUUUUUUUUUUUUUUUUUACGAAUAAAGUAAACAAAGAAAGAAAGAAAUAAACAAAAGUAUUAUACGAAGUUGAUUUUUUUUUUUUUUUUUUUUUUUUUUUUUUGAUACGAGUAUCUAUCGCGAAUAGAUAAUGAAGAGAUAGAUAGAAGUCAAACGAGUAUAAUGAUCGGUACGUCGAUAAUAAUAAAUUUAGAAAAAGAAAUAAUAAUUACUGCGUGGGUGGAAAAUUAAAAAAAAAACUCGUAGAACGUGUCAACCUGGCAAACGAUGAGCAGCAACUGAUCGGUGCUUCGGUCACCGUUUGCUUUGUAAGAAAAGAGAAAGAAUAUGAGGAAGAAGGGAACAAGUAGUAGUAGGUAGAGGGAGAAAGAGAAGAAGGAGAAGAGAGAAAACGUUUCAAAAGUUCGAGUCGUCCUAUCGUUUGUCAUCUUUGUGGAAACUUAUUUGUUAUUGUUUAUAUCGGGUUCAAAGAAUUUCGUCAGUUUCGUUAUCACCUAUACAAAGUACACGACGUCAUUUUGUUUCAAUUAUUUUAUAACAACGAUUUAAUAACAACAAAGUAAUACAGAGUAAUCUUAUUCGUUUCAAGUCGUUUCUGAUUUUUUCUUUCUUUCUUUUUUUUUUUUUUUUUUUAAACGCUAAGAAAGUUUUCUGCAAAAUGGGAUUACGUAGUUUCUAAUCUAAUCUAUGGAAUGACUUAUGAUAAAGAAAUAUGUAAGAAUGUACGAGUGGAAGAAUAAAUGAAAGCAACUUUGACAAGUUGUUGAUCGAUUGAAAAUGUUAUAUUCAUUCGUUCGAUAAUAGUAGAGAGAUAUUGAAAGUAUGAUUUACAGCAGAAGAAUAAAAAUUAUAUAUAAGAAUGCAUAUAUCAGAUAAAAUAUAAAGCCGAUGAGAACUAAGUGAAAAGUUUUAAUGCUUCGACGAGUAAUUAAGGAAAUUGUUAGAUGAAUUAAUUUAUUAAGGAUAUAAUUAAGGAUAUAAAUUAGAAUAUAUAAGAAUGUAUAUGCCGGUGAUAUAGAAAACAACAUGGACAUCGAUGGAAGAAUUUCAACGAUAUUAAUUUGCUAUUAUCUUCAAUUGAUACAAUAGAAAAAUUGAAAUAAAGAAAUAAGAAUUGAAUAAAGAAUUGAAAUGAAAGAAGAAAAAUAAAAGUAUCUUUGGAAAGUUAACAUAUCAAUGGCAAAAAUUCAAAUAAGAAAUACAUAAGUUGAUAUAAAAUAUAUAAUAAGAAUCUGUGUCGAGGUAACUUGGAAGAGUUAUGAAUUAAUUAAAAACAUUUCAAUGAUCUGUAAUAACUCUUAUUAAGAAUGAUAAGAAUUAGUUCAAUAACAUAGAAAUAAAUAUGUGAUUAUUUUUUAUACGACAA